rnacentral:misc_RNA from 1 species
AACUAGUGGAAAAUUUUUCUAAUCCGAACGAUGUUUAAAGAUUUUGAUACUAUUUUAUUGUGGAAUAUUUUUAUAAUAGCUGGAUAUAUCAUGUACAAAGCUUGUUUUUUUAGAAGCGAAUGAUUUUUUUAUUUUAAGUUUGCUCGUUCGUGAUAAAAUACGAGCAUGGCAUCUCGGCCGAGGAGAAAAUUCGUCCCCAAGCCGAAGAAAAAUGCUAAAAAACCUGGUUUUGAUUUUGAAAUCAAAGUUGUUGGAGGACUAUCGAAUGAAAGAAUGGGCGAUUCCUCGAUGGCCAGAAACUCUAGUAUACCUCGACGUCUGCAAGACUUUGAGACAAAACUGAGAAAUAUCUUCACGAUGGGAAGAACAAGUGAUAGUGAAUCUCGGACUGGUCAAGACCAUGAUAAAGAGUAUAUCAAAUACAAGCUGAACUUCCGAGAUGGUUCAAAGCCUUCUGCCUUCGAAAAGAUCCGACAAGAAUGGUGUACUAGAAUUUGCAGUCCAGGAUAUCCCUACUGGAUGGAAUCAUGCGAGAAUAUGCGAGACACCUUUCGAUACAAAGCGGAAACGUCGAGACAUGGUUUGCAGCCCAUAUCUUGCAGUUUUGGGAGCUUCUUCAAUCGAGGGACUUUCGUAGAACAUUAUACUACCGUUGAUGACGUUCAUUUAAUCGAGGAUGGGGUUGUUUACAGUGAAUUCGUACACGAUACCAAGGAAUUGACCCUCGCAUUCCGUCGGAAAAACAAUGAUUUUGCCGGCUUCCUUUUGUUACCUAUGGCUGGAGUUGAGAUGCGAAUCGAAUUCGAGUACAAACAGUUUGAAGAUUAUAUUCUGGUGGAUGAAAAUAACGAUCGGAUUGAUCUGUAUUUGCCACUUAUUCGACCACCGAAAGUAACUAAAAUAGAGGAAGUACUUGACAAAACCAACGAGAUUCGAUGUGUCAGUUUCCUAAAUUGCACCCAAGAGGUUCUGGGAAAGAGCUCUGUUCUGAGACUUCGCUUUGAAUCUUCAAAGAAAAACGAUCGAACAAUGGAACUGAUUAAACGAUUAGGAACCCUAAGUCGCACAGUGUACUUCGUUGCCAUGAAGACCAAAAAACCAUGUGGUCGAAGUGAGGUUCCAGUUAAACCCAAAUUCGACAGCUUCGAAGUGGCUUAUGCACUGGAAUGUUUGCUAUCUCGGGGAUUUAAAGUUACUGAUCGACUAAGUCGAAAGUUCUAUGAUCUACUAAGAAGUGCUGUAGCACCAGAUGAUGCCGUUUCUCGUCGAAGCCGAACACUGCAACCUUCGCAGAUUUGUCGUGCCUUGUACCAGCUGAUCGCCUUUGUAGACAGUAACAGGUUCUGUCCCAUGGAGACCGUCUUGGAGCAGUUUCUGUUUGGCAAAUUCAAAAGAAAAACAGCAUUAGAUUUUGAGUUACCCAAACACUACGUGUAUGUUCCUCGAAUUAUCGUCACCCCGACCCAGGACUUUUUGGUUCAGCCGGAGCUCGUCGCUGAAAACCGCGUCAUAAGGCAGUAUGGCCACAAGUACGCCAUGCGCAUUGCAUUCCGGGAAGAAGAUUUCUCCAAACUUUCUUCCUUUGCAGAAAGUCUUAAAGAUGUUCUGGAAACACGUGUAGUGAAUCUUCUAAAGAAAGGAAUUCACCUAUGUGGUCGCCAUUUUGAAUUUCUUGCAUGCUCGAACAGCCAGCUGCGAGAUCACGGAGCGUGGCUUUAUGCUUUUGAUGGCAAGUAUGGAGCAGGAGACAUCAGACAAUCUCUUGGGGAGCUGGAAACAAUUACAUGCGUAGCAACAUAUGUGUCCCGGAUGGGACAGUGUUUCUCAUCGACUAAAGAGUCUGUUAAAGUGAGCAUAGAUGAAGGAGUUGAAACCAAACAAAUCAAGGAAAUAGAGAUACAAUACAGUGACGAGUUCUUCGAAUGCUGCGGCAAAUUUAGGAGUGGAACAUACGUUUUCUCUGAUGGAGUCGGGAAAAUUAGCCUAGCCCUAGCCAAAAAUGUAGCAGAUAGCUUGGGCUUACGUAAGGUACCGUCAGCUUAUCAGAUUCGAUACGCUGGAUGUAAAGGGAUGUUGGCUUUGGAUUUAAACCUGCCACAAGGAAAGAAAAUUUUGCAAUAUCGAAAUAGCAUGAGUAAAUUUGAAUGUAACCACAAGGAUCUGGAAAUCUGUGAAUUCAGCAGGCCAAAUCUGUUGUACCUCAAUCGACAAUGCAUUAUUCUCUUGUCUGGUUUGGGCGUUCCGGAUGAGGCGUUCAUCAAGUUACAAGACACCAUGUUAAUGCGACUUGCUUCCAUGCUCCUCUUCGAGAAAGUAGCUUUAGAGAUGCUUAGUCAUGCAAGCGUUGCUGGGGGUCUGAAAGUUUCCACUCUGCGUAAAAGUGGCAUCAUGGUCACGUGUGAGCCAUUCUUCAGGUCUCUCCUCUUAGCGAUGUACAAGAGUAAGCUUGGUGACCUUUUGAGAAGGGCCCGUAUUGCUGUCCCAAAGUCCCACGGGCGCUUGUUGGUGGGUGUGUUAGACGAGACCCAAACACUGGAAUAUGGUCAGGUGUUUGUUCGUUACACUAAAGACAUCAGUGAGCCAGAUAAGGAGUUCGUUACACUUACAGGAGAAGUGGUCGUCACCAAGAACCCUUGUUUCCAUCCAGGAGACAUGCGUAAACUCCAAGCAGUAGAUAUUGAAGCUCUCCAUCAUCUGGUGGACUGCAUCGUAUUUCCCGCUAAGGGACCACGACCGCAUACCAACGAGAUCUCGGGCUCGGACUUGGAUGGUGAUAAGUACUUUGUCACGUGGUAUCGACCACUAAUACCUCCAAACGGCAACGAGAAACCAAUGGAUUUUCCAUCUCCAAAGAAAAAAUAUCUUGAUCGAAGAGUAGAUGUGGGUGAUAUGAUACAGUUUGUGGCUGAAUAUAUCAAGAAUGAUCAGCUGGGGCCUAUUGCUAAUUCACAUCUUGUUCACGCUGAUUCCGAGGACAAAGGUGUUAAGUCAGAAAAGUGCAUCAAGCUUGCACACAUGCAUUCUGAUGCUGUUGACUUCCCAAAGACUGGAGAGUGUCCAACUCUCACUCAAGACCUCAGACCUGAACAGUAUCCUGACUUCAUGAUGAAGACUGACAAACCCCGUUACAAGUCGAAAGGAAUUCUUGGAAAGCUGUUUCAAAAGUGUAACCAACUAGAAAGGGCGCGAUAUUUUAUUAGUGAAGAAGGUCCAAAAGACUUGCAAGUGGACCAAGAUUUGAUCCUUGAGGGAUACCAAGACUACGUUGAUUCUGCUAUUGAAAUGAGAGAUCGCUACAAUACAAAGCUUGGUUCUUUAAUGGCUUUGUAUGGACUUAAGAAUGAAGGGGAGGUUUUGACAGGAUGCCUAACUAAAGUCCAUUCCAGGGUUUCGGGUAAAACAGAUGAGAAGUUCGAAGUUGCUCAGUUAAUUCAGGCAAGUAUUGCCUCACUUCGCAACCACCUCAAGAACGAUUUCUACAGAGAAUUUGGCGGAGAAGAGGAAGUUAAGGAAUUCUUUGAAAAAGAGAAAGAGUACCCGCAAGAAGUUCUGUUCAAAGCAUCAGCCUGGUAUGUUGUAACAUAUAAUAAGAUNAAGUCGUCCAACCAAGAGGGCAACACCCCUGAAGAAGAUAACGAUGAAGAAGGAGGUGAAGCAAAAGAUGGCAAUGUUGGUGAUGAGUGGGCCAUUAGUGAUGCCCCAUUGAUAAGUUUUCCUUGGAUAGUAUCCCCAAUACUCGCCCACAUCAAGGCUUCGGCCAAUAAAGAUGCAGUAGGCGGCAAAACCCAAGAGAUGAAAGAUAUCAGUAGACUGAUUACUAUUCAAGCGGACAAUCUGUUCUUUGAUGAAAGCGUUCGCAAUGACAUGAUAGACGACUUCGAGAUGAGGCAAAAUGAACGAGAUAAGCUUUUCGGUUACAUUUCUGCUCGAAGUAAUCAGAGAUUGUUGUCCAUGACGCUGCUUGGCGCCUCCAUGACAGGGCUGAACAUUCGAGAUAAGAACCCACAGCCAUUGCAGCUCUACGUCCAAUCAAUACACAUUGAUAUUUUUGAAUUUGAACGUAUUCUCAAGCGGGUACGCAUUGUCGGCCACACUUCAGUAUUCCUCGACUGUUCACGUGCAACUAUUGAUUUUAAGGUGGGAGAUCUGAAAUGCUCUAUCACCACAAACCACAACGAGCUGCUGAAGUCAGUGUAUAUCUAUCGGCAUAUCCAACGCUGCCCUCGAUUGCUACACUUACUGCUGGUCAUCAUGCACUGGGGGCGCAAGCGUCACAUGACCGGAAGUUUAAUAGACAGGUUUAUGUCAGUAGAGGAUCUUGCUGUGCUUUUUAUUCGGUUUUGUGAAGAGCAUAAUUUCAUCGAAAAGAUCAAAGUAGAUGAACUCGAAGAACAUGACACAGGGUUUCUUAACCAUGGGAACAAAGCUAAAGAGACGAAAUGGAGGACAGACAUACUUGAAGCAGAAGCACAGACGAACAAAGGGUUCCUUAAUGGAACUGAACCAGGAAUGACUUUGAUCAAGUUCUUUGAGUUCUAUGGUAGUGAUUCCGAGAAAGAACCCCUGCACAUCUCAAAUAUCAGGAACCCCGUUCAGCCUAAAAGUCUCUUGUUCCAUCGUCUAAGUCAAGAAGAUGUUCAGCGCUUUACGGACGCCGCACUUCAUUCUUUUCACGAGAUUGCGCAGUGUAGAGGAUUGGACAGGAUCCUAAAGACAGCAGAACACGAGAACUCGAAGGAGAUGCAAGAGACAUUAUCGAUGCCUAACUGUACUUGGGGCGCCCUGAGGUUUGCUGAAGACUUUGUUGCCCAUGGCCUGUCUGAUUUGACUGGAGCUAAAGUCAACAUUCGACCAGCAACCCGAAGAGGCGGAUACAUUAUGGAGGUAAGGGGAAACUACUUGACUCUCUACAAGUGCCAGGCAGAAAGACUGAAACUUGAAAACAAGUCCACUAAAGUCUACGUCUACGACCACACUAUAACUGGCGGUUGCUAUUUAUUUUUCAUUGGUCAAACAUCGGCUGCAGAUCGGGUAACAGCGAAAGCACUAAAGAAAGACUUCGCUGUAAAUUUGGAUUCUGCUAACCCUUCGAGUAGCGAAGACGAGAGGAAGCUCGUGAGGGCGGUGACGAAGCAACUUGACGAGUUCAACGACAACUACGUUAGCUAUCUUCAUGGAUCUAAGACUUUGAGGAUAUCAGUUGAAUAUGGAUCUAUCUACAUUACAAAUGCUCAUGCAUGGGUAUUGGGAAGCACUGUUGGAGACGUGGAGAAGGUUCUUCGUGCGUCCGCUGACCCAAAAAAUCGUGGACAUCACGGAAGAAGGAAUACUCCAACUACACCACCUGAUCAUAAAUUUAACCGACUUCAAUCUAAUUUGAACUCUUUGGCGGAUAUAGAAGUAAGAUUAUCAGAGCUGGGAGAGGUACUGCUCGUUGAAGACACUAAAUUCUACAUGGUAGAAAUAAAGAUAGCCAAGAACCACGAUCUGAAAAUCGUUUAUGACGAAAAUUUGAAGUUUGAGAGAUACGAGUUCGAACCAUUCAAAUGGCUCGUUGCGGAUCUCAAAACUCCUCGACCAAUCCGAUCCAGAACACGAGACAUUGAUUUACGUGUUCUUGUGACGUCACCGCGGGAACUAGACAAACAGGAGUCCCAAGAGCUACCAAUAUACGAGACUUUUGGUAAAACGGAAAUAAUAACGUUGAUAGGAGGCCAGCCGGUCGUGUCACAGGAAUAUCGCAGAAGUGUGACCUUUGUUCACGAAGUAACCAAGAAAGUAUAUACGAUAAACAGAAAUGAAAGUCUCAUAUUUGUGGAAGUGAGCAACAUCAAGAAGAAGAACCACAAUAACAGGAAUAACAGGAACAGUAGUCCGAAUGAUUAUUGGACGCUGAAGCUGUAUGGAGAAUUCCAAAGCACUGACGUCGACAAGGCAGAAAAACUGACUAAAGUCAUCUUGUCCUUGGGCAAAGACAUCAAACCUCGUAACUAAAGCAGAAGGCUGGCGGUUCUAGUUGUUCAAUAUAAGGAAUCCAUUUAUGAAAAAAAAUUAUCUGGAAUAAACUCGUGCAUAGUGUUCCCAAAGAAAAUGCUAUAAAUGCACAGUGAAUAAGCGGUUUUUCUAGUGACCUACAUGUAUCAGUUUUGACAGAACUAGAAGGCCAAGAGAUGGAAACUCAUGGCAAUGGAAUUUUGAUCUGCAAAUUAGUAGGCUGGUUUACAGACCCAGUAUAUGGAAGAGCGUCGCCGUUCUGUAAUGGCUCCUGAUCUGGGAAUAGGAUGGCUAACGACCCAGUACUGUACAGCACUUCAAAUGAAUUUUAUGUUGGUCGAUUCUAUGUGAAGUCACUGAAAUCCCUCCUGAAAGCCAUCUUAAAAGUGAAUAGAGAAUACAGUACAGACAUUCAUUGAUGAACGCCAAUGAAAUCGUUCCUGAACACCAUUUUAGAAUGGAAUACAGUAAACUCGUAUAAAAAUCAGUUUAAGAUUGCCUUAUCAGACUCUCUAGCUACAAGACACCAACGAUUGAAUAACGACCAUUUGGCCAUCAACUCCAUAUCCAUAUUUGAAAAGCUUACCUUAUUUGGGAGUGAGCCAGAAUCCUUUUUGGUGGUUUUUCCUUCAGUUAAAGCUUUGAAAUGUCGAAAAUAUGAAUCAAAACUUGCAGAUAUCAAACUAAUAAAUAGCGAAUUGUCCACCAUCUUGAAUUUACUUAGAAACCUGGCAUUAUUUGACAAAGGAAGCCCAAAAGUUCAAAACUACAGGGAUCCCGCGCCGACGACACAUUGAACAGUGACGACGAUAUGUUGAAUAUUAGAAUCUCUAGAAUUUGGGUUUUGUGUCCGCUGCAAGUUUGAUGAAAUAAGCCAUUAUAUAAAAUGUUCCAAGUGAAAGGAA